AUACGGAGGACGCGAGCGUUAUCCGGAUUCAUUGGGUUUAAAGGGUGCGCAGGCGGCCGUGCAAGUCAGCGGUGAAAGCCCGGGGCUCAACCCCGGAAGUGCCGUUGAUACUGCAUGGCUGGAAUGCGGUCGAGGCGGGCGGGACGGGGCGGGUAGCGGUGGAAUGCGUAGAUAUGCCACAGAACGCCGAUAGCGGGGGCAGCCCGCCAGGCCUGCAUUGACGCGCGGGCACGAAGGCGUGGGGAUCGAACAGGAUUAGAUACCCUGGUAGUCCACGCCGUAAACGAUGGGCGCUCGUCGUCGGCGGCAGACAGUCGGCGGCCAAGCGAAAGCGAUAAGCGCCCCACCUGGGGAGUACGGUCGCAAGGCUGAAACUUAAAGGAAUUGACGGGG
rnacentral:rRNA from 1 species